GACUGACUGGCUCGAUACUGACACUGAGGUGCGAAAGCGUGGGAGCAAACGGGAUUAGAUACCCCGGUAGUGCACGCCGUAAACGAUGUCUACUAGCCGUUGGAGGACUUGAUCCUUUAGUGGCGCAGCUAACGCGAUAAGUAGACCGCCUGGGGAGUACGGUCGCAAGAUUAAAACUCAAAUGAAUUGACGGGGGCCCGCACAAGCGGUGGAGCAUGUGGUUUAAUUCGAAGCAACGCGAAGAACCUUACCUACUCUUGACAUCCAGUGAACUUUUGAGAGAUCAAUUGGUGCCUUCGGGAACACUGAGACAGGUGCUGCAUGGCUGUCGUCAGCUCGUGUUGUGAAAUGUUGGGUUAAGUCCCGUAACGAGCGCAACCCUUGUCCUUAGUUACCAUCAUUAAGUUGGGGACUCUAAGGAGACUGCCGGUGACAAACCGGAGGAAGGCGGGGACGACGUCAAGUCAUCAUGGCCCUUACGAGUAGGGCUACACACGUGCUACAAUGGCAUGUACAAAGGGUUGCCAAGCCGCGAGGUGGAGCUAAUCCCAUAAAGCAUGUCGUAGUCCGGAUUGGAGUCUGCAACUCGACUCCAUGAAGUCGGAAUCGCUAGUAAUCGUGAAUCAGAAUGUCACGGAGAAUACGUUCCCGGGCCUUGUACACACCGCCCGUCACACCAUGGGAGUGGGUUGCUCCAGAAGUAGAUAGCUUAACCUUCGGGAGGGCGUUUACCACGGAGUGAUUCAUGACUGGGGUGAAGUCGUAACAAGGUAACCGUA
rnacentral:rRNA from 1 species